CAUUGCUGACCUCGACACCACCAUCAUGUUCGCCACUGCUGGCACGCUCAAUCGUGAGGGUACUGAAACUUUCGCUGACCACCGGUAAGACAGGAACUGGGCCUAAGGGAGGCAGACAGGUCGGGGCACGGGGCUGGAAGAGGCAGGAUAGCAUUCGCUGGAAUGGGAAAGACCUGGACCAGGCACCUUGGACGGGCUGGAGUGGGUAGGGGAGAUCUGACUAAGCUGGGCCCUCCCUCAGGGAGGGCAUCCUGAAGACUGCGAAGGUGCUGGUGGAGGACACCAAGGUCCUGGUGCAAAACGCAGCUGGGAGCCAGGAGAAGUUGGCGCAGGCUGCCCAGUCCUCCGUGGCGACCAUCACCCGCCUCGCUGAUGUGGUCAAGCUGGGUGCAGCCAGCCUGGGAGCUGAGGACCCUGAGACCCAGGUGGUACUAAUCAACGCAGUGAAAGAUGUAGCCAAAGCCCUGGGAGACCUCAUCAGUGCAACGAAGGCUGCAGCUGGCAAAGUUGGAGAUGACCCUGCUGUGUGGCAGCUAAAGAACU
rnacentral:sRNA from 1 species